CUACCAUGCAGUCGACGAUGAACCUGGGGCUUGCUCUGGGGGAUUAGUGGCGAACGGGUGAGUAACACGUGAGCAACCUGCCCCUGACUCUGGGAUAAGCGCUGGAAACGGCGUCUAAUACUGGAUACGAACAACGAUCGCAUGGUCAGUUGUUGGAAAGAUUUUUUGGUUGGGGAUGGGCUCGCGGCCUAUCAGCUUGUUGGUGAGGUAAUGGCUCACCAAGGCGUCGACGGGUAGCCGGCCUGAGAGGGUGACCGGCCACACUGGGACUGAGACACGGCCCAGACUCCUACGGGAGGCAGCAGUGGGGAAUAUUGCACAAUGGGCGGAAGCCUGAUGCAGCAACGCCGCGUGAGGGAUGACGGCCUUCGGGUUGUAAACCUCUUUUAGCAGGGAAGAAGCGAAAGUGACGGUACCUGCAGAAAAAGCACCGGCUAACUACGUGCCA
rnacentral:rRNA from 1 species